rnacentral:rRNA from 1 species
GAUGAACGCUGGCGGCGUGCCUAAUACAUGCAAGUCGAGCGAACGGACGAGAAGCUUGCUUCUCUGAUGUUAGCGGCGGACGGGCGAGUAACACGUGGAUAACCUACCUAUAAGACUGGGAUAACUUCGGGAAACCGGAGCUAAUACCGGAUAAUAUUUUGAACCGCAUGGUUCAAAAGUGAAAGACGGUCUUGCUGUCACUUAUAGAUGGAUCCGCGCUGCAUUAGCUAGUUGGUAAGAUAACGGCUUACCAAGGCAACGAUGCAUAGCCGACCUGAGAGGGUGAUCGGCCACACUGGAACUGAGACACGGUCCAGACUCCUACGGGAGGCAGCAGUAGGGAAUCUUCCGCAAUGGGCGAAAGCCUGACGGAGCAACGCCGCGUGAGUGAUGAAGGUCUUCGGAUCGUAAAACUCUGUUAUUAGGGAAGAACAUAUGUGUAAGUAACUGUGCACAUCUUGACGGUACCUAAUCAGAAAGCCACGGCUAACUACGUG